rnacentral:rRNA from 1 species
GGUUAAGCGACUAAGCGUACACGGUGGAUGCCCUGGCAGUCAGAGGCGAUGAAGGACGUGCUAAUCUGCGAUAAGCGCCGGUAAGGUGAUAUGAACCGUUAUAACCGGCGAUUUCCGAAUGGGGAAACCCAGUGUGAUUCGUCACACUAUCAUUAACUGAAUCCAUAGGUUAAUGAGGCGAACCGGGGGAACUGAAACAUCUAAGUACCCCGAGGAAAAGAAAUCAACCGAGAUUCCCCCAGUAGCGGCGAGCGAACGGGGAGGAGCCCAGAGCCUGAAUCAGCAUGUGUGUUAGUGGAAGCGUCUGGAAAGGCGCGCGAUACAGGGUGACAGCCCCGUACACAAAAGG